rnacentral:misc_RNA from 1 species
UUCGCUAUUGUAUAAAGACUCGGACGGCACAGACGUCAGCGUUUGUGGGGCCUCUGGCGGGCGCGCACCAGCGGGGGCCGGUGGCCAGGCGGGGCCUGAGCGGCCCGCCGAGGCAACAACCGUAGCGAUCACAGUGGGUGGGAGAUCCGCCCGCGGGGGCGAGAGCUCGGUAAUGAUCCCUCCGCAGGUUCACCUACGGAGA